rnacentral:rRNA from 1 species
GACGAACGCUGGCGGCGUGCUUAACACAUGCAAGUCGAACGGAAAGGCCCUGCUUUUGUGGGGUGCUCGAGUGGCGAACGGGUGAGUAACACGUGAGUAACCUGCCCUUGACUUUGGGAUAACUUCAGGAAACUGGGGCUAAUACCGGAUAGGAGCUCCUGCUGCAUGGUGGGGGUUGGAAAGUUUCGGCGGUUGGGGAUGGACUCGCGGCUUAUCAGCUUGUUGGUGGGGUAGUGGCUUACCAAGGCUUUGACGGGUAGCCGGCCUGAGAGGGUGACCGGCCACAUUGGGACUGAGAUACGGCCCAGACUCCUACGGGAGGCAGCAGUGGGGAAGAUUGCACAAUGGGCGGAAGCCUGAUGCAGCAACGCCGCGUGCGGGAUGACGGCCUUCGGGUUGUAAACCGCUUUCGCCUGUGACGAAGCGUGAGUGACGGUAAUGGGUAAAGAAGCACCGGCUAACUACGUG